rnacentral:rRNA from 1 species
CUCGACUACAUGAAGCUGGAGUCGCUAGUAAUCGCAGAUCAGAAUGCUGCGGUGAAUACGUUCCCGGGUCUUGUACACACCGCCCGUCACACCAUGGGAGUCGGAAAUGCCCGAAGCCGGUGACCAAACCAAUAAGGAAGGAGCCGUCGAAGGCAGGUCUGAUAACUGGGGUGAAGUCGUAACAAGGUAAC